AUGGGACCAUACUAUAGCCUUAUAUAAUGGUUAAAGAUUUAUUGGUAAAGGAUGGGCAUGCGUGACAUUAGUUAGUUGGUAAGGUAACGGCUUACCAAGACGAUGAUGUCUAGGGGUUCUGAGAGGAAGGUCCCCCACACUGGUACUGAGACACGGACCAGACUCCUACGGGAGGCAGCAGUAGGGAAUAUUGGUCAAUGGACGCAAGUCUGAACCAGCCAUGCCGCGUGCAGGAUGACAGCUUUCUGAGUUGUAAACUGCUUUUAUAUAGGAACAAAGAGGCCAUGCGUGGCAAGUUGCGUGUACUAUAUGAAUAAGCACCGGCUAACUCCGUGCCAGCAGCCGCGGUAAUACGGAGGGUGCAAGCGUUGUCCGGAUUUAUUGGGUUUAAAGGGUGCGUAGGUGGCGUGUUAAGUCAGUGGUGAAAGCCUGCAGCUCAACUGUAGAGGUGCCAUUGAUACUGACAUGCUUGAGUAUGGACGAGGUAGGCGGAAUUUGUGGUGUAGCGGUGAAAUGCAUAGAUACCACAAAGAACACCGAU
rnacentral:rRNA from 1 species